GGGGCCUUUUAGGUUUUCUAAUCGGWAUGAGAAGMAUUUAAACCUCUCACCGAGGAUCCAUUGGAGGGCAAGUCUGGUGCCAGCAGCCGCGGUAAUUCCAGCUCCAAUAGCGUAUAUUAAAGUUGUUGCAGUUAAAACGCUCGUAGUCGGAUCUCGGGGCGCGGACACAGAAGCGGCUCCGGUUGCAGCUGUGAACGGUCUGCCCCUAAUUCUGGGACGCGGUGUGCGGGACUUUACUGUCUCUGCGCACCUGCGGGCCGGACGUUUACUGUGAAGAAAUUAAGGUGUUCAAAGCAUGCGUUCGCUAUGGAUACGUGAGCAUGGAAUAAUAGAAUAGGACUUGGGCUCUAUUUUGUUGGUUUCCUGGGACCAAGUAAUGAUUAAUAGGGAUAGUUGGGGGCAUUCGCAUUUCAUUGUCAGAAGUGAAAUUCCUUGGAUUGAUGGAAGACGGACUACUGCGAAAGCAUCUGCCAAGGAUGUUUUCUUUGAUCAAGAACGAAAGUUAGGGGAUCGAAGACGAUCAGAKMCSKYSKWAKYYUWAMCCAUAAACUAUGCCGACUGGAGAUUGGCGGGGAUUUGUUGUAUG
rnacentral:rRNA from 1 species